AAACAUGUCAGGACCAAAGUAAGAGCAACUUGCAAAGCCCAGGACCCAGGACAGUGAGCUUGCUAAGUAAAAGUGAUUUUGUUCCCAUAGAGCCAAGUUGUUAAGACCUUGACAGUUGGUGAGUUGGUUCUGUCCCUUUCUUGGGAGCAGAUUAAGUUAUAAACCAAAUAAUGAUUUUCUGUGCCAAAGUCAAAAGAAACCUAGAUCUAUAAAAUUGGGGAUAAGAAAUUUCAGUGCACCUACAUAACAUGGCAAGAAGCAUAAACUUUUAUGGUGCAAACACAAGAAAUAUAAAAAUAUGAAGAUCAAAAAAAAUAUCCAAGGGCUAAAAAUAAGAGAGGGGGGGUAGGGAAAUGGAAGGAAAGGAAAGGAAAGGAAAGGAAUGAAAGGAUUUAGACAAUAGGGAUUGUGAAACGUCCUUAAGGAAAACCCAUGUAUGGUUUCUAAGCUGCUUUUGUCUGUCUCAGUUUCCUUCCUUCCUUCCUUCCUUCCUUCCAAGUUGAGAAGAAGGUUUUCCUCGCAGGGAUACUGUAUGGAUCACAUGUAACUGUUCAUGUCAGCAUCCUAAGCAAGCAUUGCCAUGGGACAGCUCCCUAGUCUUAUCUUUAUCAUCCUCUGUUCUCGAUGCCACAAAAAAAAAAAAAAAAAAAAAAAAAAAAAAUAGAUAAAGAAUUCACCAGGAUUAGCUCAUUCCAUUAGUGAGAGAUGUUGGCGGGCUAAGCGGAAUGGUUUAUUUUCUCUAGUUUCAGAAUCUGGCUGGCUGUACUUUGAGCUUUUAAGCAAAGGGGUGGCAGGAUGUACUUGUGAGCGCUAUUAUGUGGCCUAUUUUGGUCAUUCUGCAUCAGAAAUCUUUAGAGCCAUCCUGGAGUCUGUUCUGGAACUGUUCUGUGUCGUGCAUGAGCAUCCCUGGACAGAGUUUAGCCCGUGAGUCAAGGAGACCCACAUCCACCAGUGCAGCACACUCCAGUCCUCCCUGGGGAGAGUGGCAGAGGGCAGGGAUUGUCUCUUGGGUCCCUGGUUGUUGUUUAUUCGUUUGUUUUGUUUUGUUUUGAGGUAGGAUCUCUCCCUUUGUGCCCUUUGAUCUGUACCCUCUCCCCCUGCUGGGUGUGGCUUUCCUUGCUGCUCUCCUUCCUGUUGAUCUUGCUUCCUUUCUUCUUCAUUUCCAGUCUGCUGCUUUGGUUUUUUGUUUUUUUUUUUUUUUUUUUUUUUUUUGAGUUAUUUUUUGGAGGUAGCCAGGGCCUUUCCUAAAUGCAAGGGACAGUGUGAGGUGAGACCCACACCCCUUACCUCACAGCCUUACCAUCAACGAGACAGAGGCAAAAAAACGGUCACAGCUAAAUCUCUGCAAGUGCGUGCUUCUCCCACACUCUCACCCUCCAUUUGAGGGAGAUGAUGUCUUUAGGUCGCAGCUGAGGACCGUGACACAUGGUGCCCUGAAUCACACAGUCACUCGAUCUUCCAGACCCAAAUGUCAUUCCUCCCAACCAUGGGCAGGCCAUACCUCUGUGAGCACAGCGUCCCAUGCUGCAGCUCACACCCGUGCUUCCAGAGCCCUCCCGUCACGGAAGCACAGUGCUGUCAGUCUAGAUGAGGGUGAAAGCCACUCUCGUGUGCAUCCAGGGGUCUCCUGAGCCUUGACUUGCCUGUGGGAUCCUGUUCUUGUCCAAAGAAGUACUGAAUGUAUCUGAUGAGAACUCAAAACCCAAUAUUCCC
rnacentral:lncRNA from 1 species